ensembl:miRNA Mir5114 microRNA 5114
ACUGGAGACGGAAGCUGCAAGAGCGGCUGAGUGUGGGGUCUUGCAGUUCCUGUUCCAGAAG